AGAAUAGAAGACUGGGACGAAAACUACUGUCAGCAAGCUUAUUUUUGGAGUCAUUGACUGCAAAAGAACCAUAACUUAGAUGAAAUAAUCUGCUAGUGAUCUUGAUGGCAGGCAUAAUAAGCCUGGGAAGUAGCUAAUGCUUUGAAAGCUGGUGUGCCUCUCAGGUGAGCAUACUUCUGACACAAUAUAAAACUGAACCAUGUUUAUUCAACAUUUUCCAUGGCAG
rnacentral:lncRNA from 1 species